UGGGCUGUAGCUCAGUGGCAGAGCACUUGCCUAGCAUGUGUGAGGCACUGGGUUCAACCCUCAGCACCACAA
rnacentral:tRNA from 1 species